rnacentral:rRNA from 1 species
AUUGAACGCUGGCGGCAGGCCUAACACAUGCAAGUCGAGCGGAUGACGGGAGCUUGCUCCUUGAUUCAGCGGCGGACGGGUGAGUAAUGCCUAGGAAUCUGCCUGGUAGUGGGGGACAACGUUUCGAAAGGAACGCUAAUACCGCAUACGUCCUACGGGAGAAAGCAGGGGACCUUCGGGCCUUGCGCUAUCAGAUGAGCCUAGGUCGGAUUAGCUAGUUGGUGGGGUAAUGGCUCACCAAGGCGACGAUCCGUAACUGGUCUGAGAGGAUGAGCAGUCACACUGGAACUGAGACACGGUCCAGACUACUACGGGAGGCAGCAGUGGGGAAUAUUGGAAAAUGGGCGAAAGCCUGAUCCAGCCAUGCCGCGUGUGUGAAGAAGGUCUUCGGAUUGUAAAGCACUUUAAGUUGGGAGGAAGGGCAGUAAGUUAAUACCUUGCUGUUUUGACGUUACCGACAGAAUAAGCACCGGCUAACUCUGUGCCAGCCGCCGCAGUAAAAC